GCACCAGAUCUCUCGAUCUCCCUCUUUCUCGCUUUAUUUCGGGCACUUUUCAGGCCAGAACGGGCAGAAAAUUGGGAGGUUUUCUCUGAGAGAGGAUGGCUCAAACUCAUUCGCUCCUUUUGGGGUUCGCUCAUGCUGUAUGACGAUGGUAAAGAGGAGGUUGAAGGUCCAAAGCUAGGAGUAGGGCUUGAGAAGGAGAAGAUUAGCUUAAAGUUCAACCCUCUGCCUCUAGGUUUGAGCUACACUAAGAAGAAUAGUAUAGUUCCUGCUGUGAAGAAGCGAAGUUUAGGGAUUACUAAGUCACCGGUAAUUAUUGCAUACAUAUUGUUAUGGAUAUUGACAAAGAUCAAACUCAUGCCCUCAUCAAUGAUGUUGUGAGUUAUGGUGGGAGGGAUUCUUGAGACAUUACUCCUAUUGUAGGUGAGGAUGAGUGUAUAAUUGAAGAUUUGACAACAACUUCUCAUUAUUUCAAUGGUGAUGCUAGAAUGAUAGAAAUUUCUAUGGUAAAAGUUGUAAUUGAAUCUAAUGAAAAUUUGAAGUUUGAACCAUUUGAAGGCAUGGAGUCUGAAUCUGAAGAAUCUGCGAAGGAGUUCUAUAAUGAAUAUGUUAGGCAGGUAGGUUUCAGUAUGUGUGCCAGCACACUUUAUUAUAUGGGUGAUGAAAUUGCUAAUGCUAGAAGAUUUGUUUGUUCAAAACAAAGAUUCCGAUAGAAGAAAUAUAUGGACAAUGAGAAUAGAGUUAAAAUAUCACGUGCAAUUACUCGAGAAGCGUGUAUAGCAAUGAUGGCGGUGAAUAAAAUUGACAUUGGAAAAUGGGUUAUUAGGAAGUUUGUGAAAGAUCACGACCAUUUGCUAACAAAGCCUGGAGAAGUUCAAUAUCUGCGAUCACAUAAGAAGCUGAUCAACAUAACACAACAUACUAUAGACACAGAUACCAGUGCAGAAUUACGUCCACGCCUUAUAAUGUCUAUCCUUAGCCAAGAAGUGGGUGGAAGUGAGAAUCUUGCAUUCAUUGGUGGUCAUUGUCAAACUCACAUGACUUGAAAAAAGAGAUGUUCAACUUGUACUUGAAUACUUUAGAAAUAUGUAAUAUGAGAAUCCUACAUUUUUAAUGCGAUUCGAGUGGAUGAGAAUGGGCAUUUGAUUAGAA